rnacentral:rRNA from 1 species
UACAGAGGGUGCAAGCGUUAAUCGGAAUUACUGGGCGUAAAGCGUGCGUAGACGGUUAUGUAAGUCAGAUGUGAAAGCCCCGGGCUCAACCUGGGAAUUGCAUUUGAGACUGCAUAGCUAGGGUGCGGAAGAGGGAAGCGGAAUUUCCGGUGUAGCGGUGAAAUGCGUAGAUAUCGGAAGGAACACCAGUGGCGAAAGCGGCUUCCUGGUCCAGCACCGACGUUCAGGCACGAAAGCGUGAGGAGCAAACAGG